CCUGAAUUGGGCCAGUAAUAAGCAAUCUGAGGAAUAGGUCAAUAAAACAUUAGACGUUCAAGUAAUGAAGUCAAUUCCUCCAGUUACAACCAGAAUCAACUUCAUAAAAUUAAAAAACUACUUUGACCGUGUGUGUGGACGCGCAUGUGAUCUCUAAUGCCCUAUUUGACAAUCAUUGUUUCAAAACACUUUUUUCCAUUCGCGUGAUAAAAUAUUCUACACAACCCAAAACUUUCCCCUAAUUGCUCAAGCCACUGUGUGUGUGGUCCAAUCCGGUUACACUAAUUGGUCAAGCCAACAAGUGAACCGAUCAAGAAUCGGUUAGACCGUUCAAUAACCAUUCGGUUUAGACGAGUUAAAGGGAUAACUGGGAUCGGUUCAAACGUGAACUGGUUGUUACCAAAGUAUAGUGCAAAAUCUUUUCUUCAAUUUGGCAUGGCAAGGAUUCAAACCUUGGCUUUAAGAAAGUAAUAUCACUCCCCUAACCAUUAUGGCAUAAGCACAUUCCUUGGUAAAGAAUGUAAGGAAGAUACAUAUAUAUUUAAAUUUGGAAAAUUGUCAUUAUUUUGUUUGAAAACUAUAAUUAAUUAAAAUUACAAUAUAACAAGAACCCACCGGUUGAACAACUGAUCCCCCGGUCGAACCAUUAAACCAGAGGCUCGAUGAUUUUUUCGAGUCGACAAUCGGGUCGAGUCUAAUAACUAUGAGUUUAACAACUCAUCCAAAAGACUUGACAUAUCCCAACAAAUAAAGCAUAAUAUGAAAACAUACAUGGUGCCGUAGAAUAGGGCUUUCUACAUCUAGAGAUUCAACGAUAGCUAAGAAUGCUUCCUCGUUAUCACCAGUUGGAUACAAAUAAAGGAUUCAAAGUGUGAAAAGUGCAGAGCAACGCUAAUAUAGGCUAUUGUCUUCAUUCAGUAUAACUUCCCUGAAUAACAUACAAGAGAAUAAAACAAUUAAUUAUAUAGACUUGUAAGAGCAGAUUAUGAUUAUCAUUCCAGAUCAAGAAUUGCAAACUUUAAUUCUGGAAUAGGGCGAAAGACAGGUGGAGCUGGUUCGAGCCCCUCGAAAUAUAUUAAUUUAUUGAGAGUAGCAUUUUUUUAGUUCCCUAAUUUGAGUAAGAGCCACUUCACAUGUAUCUCGAACUUCUGGAGAUGGAUCCGAUUGGAAACUAGUCUGCAAAACUAGAAUACUAGUCUCUAAACCAAAUGCACCAAGAGAUUCUACAGCCUGUUAUAUAAGUAGAGUGUGAAAGCAGAGGAAUAUACAUUAUCUAAAUUCAAAAGCACAAUACCUUUAGGCUAACAAUAGGAUGCAAGGAAAAAUCCUCUACAAUGGCCUUUAAUGCAUGGAUAGCAUCAGAUUUUCGCGUCCGGCCCAACCGAUAUGCGGCCUCAUAUGCCAAUAGGGCUGAAUCAUCCCUCAUUGCUAGAACAGAAAAUAAAAUAAAACCUUUGUCACUCUAAAAACAAAUAAGUAAUAAUCGAAGAGAAAAAAGAUAAAAAUCAAAAACCUGCAUCUCAUUUACAAAUGGUACCUUUGAUGAAGGAGUUGAUGGCAGAGGGAUGGCUACCGAUAAGGCGCAGACUGAAAGCUCUAAAUCGCUCUGUAAUUGGUUGGUUUUCAUCCAACAACAGAUCGCAUAAGAAUUCCACAAAAACCCAUCUGUCAAAAUUCAUAUUGAAUGCUAAUAACAAGAGGAUGAGGAAUUCAUUUUCAAGAAUUGUUAAAUUUUCAUAUUAAACAUUGAGCAUAAAUUAUGCCUUAAGUCAACAAGAAAGAACGUACGAGCUUUCUCUAAAACGAAGUAGAGAAUCGA
rnacentral:lncRNA from 1 species